UGGAGCCAUGGGUCGCCGCGGCCUGUCUUGGCCUCGGCUGUGCCGGCCAUGGCCAGGGCGUUUCAGGGGCCCCUGAGGCGGCCCCACUUGCGCGUCGCCAUGCCCGGGAGCGUUUCGCCCGUUUUCCGUGUGCCAGAGCCCGCAGCGCCCCAGCCUGCCGCGGCCGGGGUGGGCUCGGCCCGCGCGGAAAGGAGGCGCGUUUAAGGUUCAGAUCUUGAGUGUUUGAAGGCGCAGGAUUGUGCGGAAAUGGAGUGAAUGUCACAGACUUUUCCAGGUGAGAUGGAUCUUUGAAGCAUAGACUACUGCUAACUGAAUACCAUCUGAAGCAUAAAGGAUGUUCUGGGUAAGGAAACUGAACUUGAUCUUCACAGAUUACAUGGAUUAGUAAAAUCUUCGAGCCUGAGGAGCUAAAAAUUAUGCUGCAAAUACAUGCUUUAAAAUGGUGGGGCUGUGUCUAUUUUAAUGUGCUUCUUGGAGGUUUGUGUAAUGAUUAAGUUCCAGGGAAUAGCAUUUAAAAUUCUGUAAAUCUUAACAGAAGAAAUUGAUAUUUACUGCUGUCAAUUACUGAUAGCCUUAUCAAACAGUAGGCUUAGGCUCGGCCCAAGGAGGGCAAUGGUAGGCAAAACACAGCUCCUUCCUUUAGAACUUACAGUUAAAGGGAGGAAAUGUUAUCAUUAAGAUUUACACGAGGCAAGUCCCAUGCGAUGGGGCUUGACUGAGUCAACGAAACAGGAAGCAAAACUGAAAGUGAGGAUAGGUAUCAUUUUUUGCAAGACCUUUGGGGAACUGUGGUGUCAAGAGGCCUUGAACUAGUAAAGGUAUAUGACUGUUAGUCCAGAUAGAGGUAAGAAAUGUUUGAGGCUUAAUAAGAUGGCUUUUAUGGGAGCUAGAAGUGUUAAGGCUUAUCAGGUUAGAGGCUAGACCACUUAAGGCUGUUUUAAAACAAGGGGAGAUCAGAGAUGGAAAGUCACAUGUAUAAAAAAACUGUUAAAUAUGGGAAAAUAGGAGUCUACUAUAAUAAGAAGGCAACAGGUGGCAGCCUUGGACUGUGUGGUGGCAAAAUUGAUGUAAGAGAUAGGGCAAAGCUGAUGGAACUUGGUAUUUGGACAGGCAUUAACACUGACCCUUAGGUGUGUGCUUGCACAUUCACAAACAUGAUGACCCUAAAUCCAGCUGGGGAGUGGUAUUUAAACUGGUUGAAUUUGAACUGCCUUUGAGAAAUCGUAAGUGGCUUCUUGGCAGAACAAUGGCCUAUAACAAACCAGAAAUUAACCUUAGGGCCAUGGACAUCAAUGUGAUAAAUCCAGGGAAGAGAAACUCAAGUAACUGGGCAGAAUAGGAUGAGCUGCAAAGAAUGGUAGAAGGUACUUAAAAGAAUCAAGAGAUUACAAGACAGCCUAAAAUGCAUCGUUGGGAUUUAGUGACAUAGAGGUGAUUUAGUGAGGUCUAAAUUAAUGAAAGUGGUGACAUGGUGCAUACUGAAGACAUAAGUGACAGGAGAACAGGAUGGAAUAUUCUGAAGGAGAUAACUUCCAAAGUAUAGGUGGACAGAAUGAAGGUUAGGGUUAAUGGCAACUUGGGUGAGAGGAAAUAAAAGAUGUCCUACGUGUGUAUUUCUAUUUUUUCCUAGUAGAUUGGAAGGUCAUCUGCAGAGAGGAAUGGUUUGAAGUUAGGCAGGAUGGAGGGAUCAUUGAUUUUUUUUUUUUUUAAAUAGAGGCAUGUUUUAUUUAUUUAUUUGUUUGUUUUUGUUUAUACAUGCACUGGGUACAGUCAGAAGCGCG